GGGGGUGCACCGGUUUUGACUGGUACGGUUCGGGGUAUAAGCUGCAGGUGGAGUGCCGAUCUCCUGAUUCGGCAAAACUUUAACUGCCAACAAUGACAGUUACGCUCUUCAAGCUGCGUAAGCAGUAGAGCGCGAAACCCGGCCCCGCCGCCUUGAGGGACCGGCUUUUCGUCGCAAUCAAGGCUGGCCAACUCCCGGUUCCGGACGGGCUGCGGCAAGAAAUUCCCGGAAUACGGAUAGGCCGCAUGCCGUAAAGCCAAGCCCGUCCCGACAAUUCAAUUCACGGCUAAACCUGUAGGGGCUUGUAUUUCGCGUAGCAGGACAGGGGUUCGACUCCCCUCACCUCCAA
rnacentral:tmRNA from 1 species